UGAUUUGUAGAUUCGGCUGAUAAGCUCACUUUUUUUUAGGGAGCUGAAAAACACUGCAGAAAGUACUUAUUGACAGUGUCAUAGUGGGCGUCCAUGUUUCAUCCAUGCGACGUCUUCACCUUUUUUUUUUUGUUUUUUUUGGGGGGGCCAAGUUAGCCCGGACGGACCGCCGGAGUAAUUUUGAACGGAUAAAGUACAAGUCAAACGGGGCUCCCCCCAUUCCUUACGUCGAGAGCUCGAGGUGCUCGCCACGACGGGCUCGCCGGCGCCGUCAUUCCCAGCGAUGGAUUCGUCAAGUCUACCCUGAACCAACCUUCUGCCGCUUCCUCUCGGCGCUGCGCAGGCAUCUCUUCACCCGCCUAAUCCUGACAACAUGAACGACAACAGCGUCGUGUCUACCUGAACGUCGAUGCAUACCAGAUGUUCACGGUUCGCUCUGGGGAAGCCGUCAAGGCGUCAGAGCACCAGUUCAAUGGAAUGACAUGAUUUUGAAGUGUGGACUGGGGACCAUCUUCUCAGCGCGGCUGCCUGAUUAAAUUAGGAAAGUUGUGCUUCUUUGUAUUACGAAGAAAAGGUGUAAGAACCCGUACAGCACACACCCAAUGUUCUAGAAACUUGUUCGUGCUUUAUGCUUACAACAAACAUAUUGCUAAUGCCUCUACUCUGUUUGAAAAUAUUAUAACAGGAAGUGCCGGAAUAUUAACAAUUGGGAGGUACACCGUUCUAAGUUAACAUCUAUUUGCUGAAUAAUAUGAACUUCUGUAUACAUGUAAUCAGAUUCCUGGUUCUUUUUAUAUGCCUAUCGUGAGCAUCCAUAAACUUAUGAUUAAGGAACGGCAGCUUUGGAAAAGUUGGGAAAUUGUCUCCCAUCAAGAUAUGUAAAUAGCUAUUUUUCUUAAGAUCAAUAGUGUAGGGUGUUGUUUCUGCAUAAAAAUAUUUAGUGUCAUGCAUCAGGAUGCCGGUAAGGAUAUAAGAAGUUAGAAAACCAUAUGCAUGUAAAAUAAAAAAAGACGCCAAACCUCAGCAGACAUGAUUCCGUGGUGGCAAUGGAUGCUAUCAUCUGACUGGCUGAAACCACUGCUGGCUUCAAUAAACACGCCAGCAUCCGUUAU